rnacentral:rRNA from 1 species
AGCAGCCGCGGUAAUUCCAGCUCCAAUAGCGUAUAUUAAAGUUGUUGCAGUUAAAAAGCUCGUAGUUGAAUUUCGGGGUUAGUAGAUCGGUCAUGCCUCUGGUAUCGCACUGGUCUUACUGAUUCCUCCUUCCUGAUGAACCGUAAUGCCAUUAAUUUGGUGUUGCGGGGAAACUGGACUGUUACUUUAGAAAAAUUAGAGUGUUUAAAGCAGGCUAACGCUUGAAUACAUUAGCAU